UACGAAGGGUGCAAACGUUGCUCGGAAUCAUUGGGCGUAAAGCGCACGUAGGCGGCUUGCCAAGUCGGACGUGAAAUCCCUCAGCUCAACUGAGGACGUGCAUCCGAAACUGGCGAGCUUGAGUACUGGAGAGGAUCGCGGAAUUCCCGGUGUAGAGGUGAAAUUCGUAGAUAUCGGGAGGAACACCAGUGGCGAAGGCGGCGAUCUGGGCAGAUACUGACGCUGAGGUGCGAAAGCGUGGGGAGCAAACAGG
rnacentral:rRNA from 1 species